rnacentral:snoRNA from 1 species
AUGCAUCUCUGACAGACCUGGAGCAGUACCGUCUGCUGCUAAGGUUUCCACUAUAGAUGCAAGAAAAAUGACCUAGCGCUUUCUGUCUGCCUGAUUGUGGAGCCGAGAUUGAAUAGAGGAAUACAAGC